rnacentral:rRNA from 1 species
CGCGUAGGCGGCCUUCUAAGUCGAACGUGAAAUCCCCGGGCUCAACCCGGGAACUGCGUCCGAUACUGGAGGGCUUGAAUCCGGGAGAGGGAUGCGGAAUUCCAGGUGUAGCGGUGAAAUGCGUAGAUAUCUGGAGGAACACCGGUGGCGAAGGCGGCAUCCUGGACCGGCAUUGACGCUGAGGCGCGAAAGCCAGGGGAGCAAACG